GGUGAACGGUGUGCACAGUGGCCGUCUGUGUCAUGUGUGGUUGCGGGGCUGCGUUUUGCAGACUGGGCAGCACCACUCACACCACACCUGCAGCCACAGAACAACAGGAGAUCAUAGUACUGGCCCUAGACGUCUUUAUGGACCCAUCACCUUCGGCCAGCCUCCAAACUCUCCUACACGC
ensembl:snoRNA